UCCACAUCGAGAGUGCCUGCCUGUGGAA
rnacentral:piRNA from 1 species